rnacentral:lncRNA from 1 species
AUGUUUCUUGAGGAAUGUAAAUGGGGCACUCAGAGCCACUCUUUAAUUGAGGUAAUUUUACAGGGGUCAUGCGAAGGUUGCCGGAUUGACUGGAGGAGUUGCUCUGAAGCAAGGCGCCGAGCAAACCCCCCUGCAGUUGUUUCACCAGGAGCAUCUCUUCACCUGGGGGAGGCAUCAGUUCAUUAUUUGCUUGCAGCUCAUGCUUAUGCCCUCAUCUGCUUUUCUGUGGCUGGAAAAAAGGCGUGUGAAUGUGGAUGGAAAUAACCAAAGCCCAAGAAAAGGACCGAGCAGUGCCCGGCCAGAGGUGCCCGUUAGCAUUUGCAGGCUUUGAUUUGGAAAUCUCGAAUACAUCGCCCCUGAUUAGAGGAACAGUGUCUGAAAAACUGCGGAAGAUUUCUCCGGGGAACCAUCGGGCUUCAAGGAGAAGAAAUAUUUGCUGGUGGUAAUUAUAUAUUAGCUUUAAGACAACCAAAUUAUUUCUGAAGUGACAGAGCAUUAUGGACACGGUCAGCAUUGCUUUCAGCUCUAAUUCACGGCGCGCAGGAAGGGAGCGGGCGAACGGGGAAGUGACAUUAAUUGUGGCCCAAUUCAUUUCCCUGCAUGGAGAGCCACAGCUAAUCUCCUUAAAAGAAAAAUGGUUUAAUCUGAAAGGGCUGUGCGGGAUGAUUUGUGAACCUGGAGGGAAGUGAGGCAGCGGGAGGCAGUCCCAGGGCUGAGCAGUGAUCCCAGGGCUCGGUGGUCCCAGGGCUCAGUGGUCCCAGGGCUCAGUGGUCCCAGGGCUUGAUGGUCCCAGGGCUCUGUGGUCCCAGGGCUUGGUGGUCCCAGGGUUCUCUGGUCCCAGGGCUUGGUGGUCCCAGGGCUCAGUGGUCCAGCUCCCACCAGGACACGGACCCACAAGCAGUGGGGGGGGAUCCCCAUUCUGCGGUGCCCAGGACCAGGCGAUCUGUGGUGCCUGAAGUGGAGGAGUGAUUCAUGUUGCUGUCCCUCCAGAAGGAAUAAGUAUGGAAUAUUUAUUAGGCCAAUUACCACGUGCUCUUGUCCCCUGGAAGUUCGUGCCCUGUAGUGCUCUGAAGGGAGGAGUAUAAUGUUUUACUGCAGAGAAAAAUCCCUCUUUGGUUAUUAACAUUUAGCUCAACUGUGGCAAAGCAGUCCCAACAUUUGAAUUUGGAAGGUUUAUUCCCCAUUUCUCCCACACAUCUUCCUGAAAGCAUACCAGCGACUUGAUAAAAAACUGAUUUAAUGGCUACAAAACCCGGAGAUAAAACUACUCUUAAUGGCUUU